GAUCCGAGAGCCGCGGCUUGGCUUGACAUACCCUGCCGCGGGGUGGUGCUCUGACUGCGGCAACCGUUGACGGGCCGCCCCCGGAAGGCAGCGAGACGCCACGGAAUGGAUUUACUGAAGACAGAAGACUCAUCCUGAUGUGAGUGGUACCAACCAAUAGUCUUGUAACCUGGAUUGAAUAAAAAGGGAAUGAAACAAGAAGGAAUGGUGCUGCUGCUGCUGUUUCUCCUCUUAUGGCUCCCUCUGCCAUGCUGUCCUGCCUUGGAACCAGCUGACCAUGGACUGAAACUUCUACAAACUGGGCUGAAGUAAACCUUUCCUCCUAUAACUUUUGGGUGUCAGGUAUUUUGUGCCAGCCAUGAGAAAGUAACUUAAAACAAGGAUCAAGGCUUUAAUACAUUAGUCUUUAGGGAAUGCUUUAUAUUUAAACCAUGAAUAUUAUUUAUGUGAUUCAAUCAACAUAUCCCAGUUACUAAGUAAUGUAAAAGUAUAGAACUCAUGGUUACUGCCUACUUGAUCACUUAUCUAGGUUCAAGGAGUAGAUUGUGGUAAAAAGACUUAUGACACUUGUUCUUAGGUUGCGUUCAAUGUAAGAACCUCCCAAAUGAAAGUAUGUUUUUUGGGCUUUGAUUUUUUUGAGAUGGGGUCUGGUUAUGUUGCCCACAGUGUCCUCAAAUUGAACUCUCAGACUUAAGUAAGUGGUUCUCUUGUUUCAGCCUCCAGAGUAACUAGGACUGUAGAGGUGUUCCUUUCCAUCUGGUUUACCUGUAUCUUAAGGGAACUUUGCAAGGAAUAGUAGGGCCUAAUUGGGACAAAUACUCAGGAAAGGUUGAAUUUUGAGAUUUUUUUUGGUGGGGGGAGGUACUAGGAAUUGAACCCAGAGCCUCACAUGCUAAGCAUGAGCUCUAAUACUGAGCUGCAUCCCUCCACUCCAAGAUUUGAGAUUUUUAUAAUUCACUUGCCUUUUAGCAAACUCCCAAAACUACACUAAUUUUAUUCCAGGUUAGCUGGCAAGCAUUGCCUGGAGUCUCAAACAACAGAAAUUAGGAAGCUAUCGCACUGCCCUUAUUGCAGAAGAAUAAAGCAGAUGCUAGUUAUCUCUGAGAAAAAAUACCCUCGUGGGCCAGGGAUUUAGCUUUGUGGUAUAAGCAACUACCUGGAAAGCAUGAGAUUAUGAGUUCGAUCUCUGGUCCUUAAAAAAAAAAAAAAAAAAACUCUGAAACUGGGCAUAGCGGUAUACAUCCAUAAUCCAAGCACUUUAAAGGCUAAAGUAGGAGGAUUGUAAAUUUGAGGCCAGGUAGGGGUGCGUAGCAAGUUCAGUAGCAACCUACUACAUAGCAAGAUCGUUUCUCAAAAAAAUAAAAACAAAUUUGACUCUGCUUGGGAUUACAACUUUGGGAUUCCACAGGAGUCCCAAGUCCACAGGAUUUUUUACAGUGUUUUCUAAUUUCAGUAUGUCUUAAUUAAAUGAAAGUUAUAUAAUGCUUUAUGUAACUCACUUUAGAAAUUUACUAUAAAGAAAAAGAAAAUAUUAAUAGUGGCUGAAAUUUUUAUGCAACAUGAUAUCCUUUACAUUAUAUUAUAAAUAUAUUUAAGUAUGUGGUAGAACCAUAUAAAUUAGUAAAGUUAAUUUUUAAUACAUAUGUAGUUGUAGUAUCAUUUCUUCCACAUUUCAAUGUGCUUUUUUUUUUUUAUCAGUACUGGGGAUCGAACUCACCUGCUUACAAGGCAGGUGCUUAUGCCGCUGAGCUAAAUCCAUAGCUCCUCAAUUUGCUUUUUAAAAAAUUCAGUCUUAUAUUUUAAAGCACAGUUACUAUUCUCUUGUUGCUGGAAAACUUUUUAAAUUCAGUUUACUUUUUUAUUAUAGUGUAUUCACACAUGUGUGUAGUACAUAAAGUUUACAUUCUUUAUGAGAAGUUGGUACAUAUACAUAACCCAGAUUAAUUCCUUUUUUUAUUUCCAUUCCCUUCCUUCCUCUACCUGACCUCCAUUCAUCCCUUGGAAAACUUUCUUAUCUGCCAAACUUUAGAAUAUUCAUUUACACAGAAAAUAAAAUAGUGAUGUCUAACAUGAUAAUAUAUGCAAAAAGUCACAGGUCCCAGAGAAGAAAAUGAGGUGAAGAAUUUUCAGGUCUGUUUAAAAUGUGACAGCAGGAUGAAAUUGUUGGACAGUUCCAAAGAUAACCAUUUUAUAAGAAUGGAACAAUAUAAUAUUAUAUAUUAGAAUUAGUCAUUUUUAAAAACAAUUCUUGGUAUGAUAACAUACUAUAUAGCUAGUAGAAAUAGGAAUUAGAAAAACAUUGUUCCCUAGAUUUAAAAAAUGCCAUUAGCAUUUUCAGUCUUUGGCCUUCAUUGCAUAAAUAUAUCAGGUCAUUUACAAUAUGUAAACUAGUUUUACUAAUAUCCUGUUAGUUUAAUCAAUAUCUUGGUUAUCUCUGGGGAGAAAGUGGCACUGACUGACCAUACUCCUGAUGGGUUCAGUGGAGCUACACAAUUUGUUUCUUUUAUAUAAUUGAUAAAAUUGCUAAUUAUAUAAUAAUUACUAUAAUUUGUUUAUUUUCACCUUUUGAAAAUUGGAACUCUUAUCUCUGAAUUCGUUUUUAAAGUAUUAUCUCCUGGGAUUGGAGAUGUUGUUCAGUGCUAGAGUACCUACUAUAUGGAGUCCUUAGGUUUAUUACACAGCACCCAGGAAAGAAUAACAAAAAAUUAUAUAUAUAAACUUUUCUAUGUGUGUGCUUAUACGUGUAUAAAUCCCUCUAGAUUCACUUUAAAAAGUAUAAUAGAUAGUGCUUUCUAGAAAGUUGGUUCUUAAAAUCCUAUGCAGUUGUUAAUUGUUUCAUCUUCAUGCAUAUCUUUUUCAUGCAUUGCUUUAAGAUGAUUCUUGAAAAGUGUUCCUAGCCAGGUGUGGUGGCACACACCUCUAAUCCCAACACUUGGGAGACUGAGGCAGGAGGAUUGUUGCAAGUUUAAGACCAGCCUGGACUACAGAGUGAAUUCAAGGCCAGUCUGAACUGCAUAUCAAGAGCCUGUCUCAAAGAAGAAAAGAAAAAAAUUGUAUUCCUAAAGAACCCUAGGGACCUGAUUAAAUUAUAGAACAUUAAUGUAAAUCAGCAGUUCUUAUUCUAAACAUUGACAGCUUACAAGUAAAGAAAGUAGUUAAGGGAGGGCUAGAUAUAGAGGACUGCUAUAGUGAGUAUGACAGAAAAUAAAGAAAUGAAGCAUAUUGAUUUUCAAUUUAGAACAGUGUGGACUGUUCUUGGAAAAGCAAGCCUUUAUUACAAUCUGAAAUCUGAGUUAAACAGAAAAUAUGGACAGUGGGUUAAAAACAGCGUUUACGCACAAAUGAAUGAUAAUUCAAAUAUCUUCAUUUUUCCAUCAGAAAAUAGAGUCCAGAAGACAGUAUAUCUCUUAAAAGCUCAAACAAUAAAUUGGUGAGCCCAUGAAUUCUGUGUUCAGUGGAAGUGUCCUUCAAGAAUGAUGGCAAGAUUAAGUUAGUUUUAUAAACGUAAAACUAAGAGAAAUUUGUCUUCAGCAGACCUGUACUACAAGAAAUGAUAAUGGAAGUUUAUCAUGUGAAAAAGAAAUAUUAACAGAACAGUUGGAUCUUCUGAAGCAAAUGAGGACAUCAGAAAUGGUAAAUAUCAGGAUAAAAAUAGAAGACUAUGUUUAUCCUCUUUUAUUUUGUAACUAAAUCUAUGGAUAUUUAAAGCAAUAAUUAUAACAUUGACCUUUAGGGUUUUAAUUGUAUUUAUUUCAAAAGUAUACAGUAACACAUAUCUAGAACUAUGAGAAAUUACAUAAAACUAUGAGAGAAUAUGGUGUGUUGAGGAAGGUGAUUAAAGACCUAAAGAUUGGCAAUUUAACAGGUAAAAUAGAUACACAGGACCAAACUAUAUUGCAUACGACAGGUAGACUUAAGAUUUAAAGAACUCAAGUAUGUUAAAAAUGAAUGGACAAAAUUAUCUGAAAGCAUUAAAAAGCAAGGAAGUCUAUAUUAGUAUCAAGUUCAAUUGCUUUUAAGACUUGAGGGUAUUAGCAGAGAUGAAGAAUGGUCUUUAUGAUAGAGAAUAUGUUUCAGGAAAACAGUUAUAAAUGAGUGUUGAAUACUAUCUUAGAAAUACAUGAAGCAAACAUUUAGAUAAUAGUGGUAUUUAAUAUUCUCAGUAAUUGAUAAAACAAUUAAAAGAAAUCAGGAAAGAUUAUAACACUAACAUAGAAGAUAAUAAUAACACUAUGAAGUACCUCCGCUGAUAAUCAUAGAAUGCUACAUCCAACAACUGCCAAAUACAUAUCUUUUACAAAGGCAUGUGGUGUGUUCCUAAAGAUAGACCACCUGGCAGAAGAUAAACAAAUGAAUAAAUUUAAAAACAAUGAAAUUUAUAUAGAGUAUGUUUUCUUACCACAGUGAAAACAAAAUAUAGUUAUUAAGAUUGAGAUGGGAAGAUAUCAAAUAUUUCAAACUUUAUUUUUUUAUUUCAAACUUUAAUAAAAAUUCCUAAAUAAAUGACAGGGGAAGAAAUAAAAAGAAAAUACUUUGAAGCCAGGUAUGGUUGCAUAGAUCUGUAAUUUCAACACAAGGGAGGCUGAUGUAGGGGGGUCACUAUGAGUGCCAGCCUAGGCUACAUAGUGAGUUCAAGACCAUCUGUAACAACACAGGAGGGGCCUGUCUCAUGCAAAAUGAAAUAAAACAGAGCUUGGAACUGCAUGGAAAUGAAAGUAGAACAUAUCAAAAAUUUGGAAAGGCAGAUAAAGCAGCACUUACAAGGCAAAUAGCUUUAAUCUUAAAUUAGACAAUAAGACUGAUGGUAUAGCCCUUAGUUCAAUACCCAAAGGAAGUGGGGCUGGUGGUCCUACAAUUAAUGACCUAGAUUCUACUUUAAGAAGCUUAGAAAAGGCAAGGUAAAUAAAAAAUGUAAUAAAGAAAGAAAAACAGACAUCAGCCACACAUAAAAAAAUCAACAAAAUAGACAAACCAAAAUCUGACUCUUUAAAAAUGGUACAGAGGAAUGAAACUCCCAACCUACUCUACUAUGUCUGGUACGAGUUUGUGUUCUCUACAAGCAGUGAAUGAAUUUUAAGGACAAUGGAGGUUAAGGGUAGAAUAUAUUUAUUGAGAGAAAGAAAGCUUUUGUCUGAGAGAGACUGAAGGGGUCCCAAGUGCGUUGUCAAAGACUGUCUUUUCUAGGGACUUUUAUAGAGUAAAAUCAUGGGGUGAGAUGGGUUCAAGUUAGGGAAAACUGGGAACUCACAAGGCAUAGAGGGGGCAAUAACUGUUCCAGAAAGGGGUUGGGAUGGUGACUUCUGACUUCCUUAAGGUGAUAGAGACCUGUUUAGAAUAUCAGUCCUUAGAAUAUGGGUGCAUUUGUUUGAUCUUUUGUCUUGAGGCCUAGCCCACAGCAGAUCUCUGUCUUUCCCACAGUUGCAAAGUUUCUGGGCUUCUGCACUGGCUCCUUUGAGGAUUUAGCCCUGUCUUACUGCAUGUACUAUUUCUAACUCAGCUGUCUGAAACAAAAGUAUAAAGAAAAUUGACGUGUUAACCAAAAUGAUCAAGAAAAAAGAAAAAAUACAAACUAUCAAAGAUGAAAGAUUUAUCGCUAUAGUUUUUAUAGGCCUUAAAAGUAAUAAUUUUGGGGGCUGGGGAUUUAGCUCAGCGGCAUAAGCACCUGCCUUGCAAGCAGGCAGUCGUUAGUUCGAUCCCUGGUACCGAUAAAAAUGAAAAAGACAAAAAAAAAAGUAAUAAUUUUUACUUAAGCAAUCAAAUUCAGGAACUUAAGAUGAAUAAAUUCCUUUAGAAAAACAAUAGUCAAAAUUAAUACAAGAAACAAAAAUCUAACAUUGUUCACAAACAUUUCAGAACACAUGAGAAAUAAAAAUAUUAUAAAGCCAAAUGUAUUAUUCAAACAGCCGUUAUUACCAAAAUCUGACACAUAUUACUGAAAAAAAAAUUAGACGAGUAUUCCACAUAAACAUAAAUUUAAAAAAUACUUUAUGAGCCAGGGAUUUACCUCAGCAAGCUCAAGGUUGUGAGUUUGAUGCCUGGUACAAAAACCAAACAAAACAAAAAAAAAGAACUUUACACAAUAGCAUGUUAAAUGAAGUAAUGUAUAAAACUGACGGUAAAUGGUAAGAGGGUUUAGUUUAGAAAUGUGAGCUCAGUUAAUUGACAUUCUGUUAAUUUUUUACAGUAACAAAAAGAAAAACCAUGCAGUUAUUUCAAAAUGUGCAGAAAAAGUUUGAAAAAUUCCACACACACUUAUGAUAAAAAUCAGAUAAGCUAUGAAUAAUAGGGACCUUCUUAAUUUGAUAAGAAUAUCUACUUGAAAACCUUCCUUUAACAUCAUAUAGAGUGGCAAAACACUAUUUUAUUCCGAAGAUUAGAAACAUGGAAACAGUGUGGACAUUCACCACUUACAUUUAACUUGUAUGAAAUGCUGUUAAGUAUUGAGUUUAAUGCAAAGUAAUAAUCCAGAAACAAAAAUGUGCAGAGAGACCUCAAAAGAAGAAGUAGCAUUGUUUCUCAUUUCAGAUGAUAAGAUUUUUUACCUAGAAUACCCAGAGCCUGCAAAAACCUGUCCAACAAUGAGUGCAUUGAAUAGAACUAUACGAUAUAAGACUAAAGCACAAAAGUCUGUGGGGUUUUUGUUUGUUUGUUUUUAGGGACAUGGUCUUGCUAUGUAGCACAGGCUGACCCUGAAUUCUCUGUGUAGCAAGAACUUGAACUCAUGGUGAUCCUUCUGCCUCAGCCUCCCAGUGCUGAAAUUAUAGGUGUGUGCCAAUACAACUAGCAGUUGUAUUUUGUAUUUGGUACACUCUUGGAUUUUGUUUUCUUGGUGUUGCUGAUUGAACCUAGUACACGCUGCUGCACUACAUUCUGAAUUCUGAAAAUAUGUUUUAAUUGUGCCAAAUGAAUACUACUUAGGAAACGUAUUUAAAAAUCUAUCCAUAGUCUCUACCCAGAAAAUUUGAAAACACUGAUAGGACAAUUUAAAAUGAUAUGGGUUGUUGUUACUGUUAUCAUUGUCAUUUGAGGCAGGAUCUUGAUGUGUAUUUCAAGUGGAUCUUAAUGCUAGCCUCACACUUGUGACAAUCAUCCUGUUUCAGUCUCUCAAGUGCUGUGAUUACAAACGCACACCACUACAUCCAGUUUCAAUGAAAUAAAUGCUGAUAUACCAUCGUCAUGGAUUGCAACAUUCAAGAUUAGUGAGACGGUGCUUCAGAUCACAUUGCCCAAAAUAACUACUAAACUGUUUGGGAAGGAAAUGAUAAAUUAAUUAUAAAAUCAAUGUGGAAAUUAAGAACAAAACAAGACAAGCCAAUGCACUUUUUAAAGUGAUAAAAUUAGUGGAUAUAUCCUGAUUUCAAGACUUACAGUGAACACUCUGUAAUUCUGUAAUGUGAAAUGAUAUGCCUAAGAACAAUGGACAAGAAUAGAGUUGUUUUAAAUUAAUCUUUAUCAAAGAUGCCAUGUAAUCUAGUGAGGGAAUGAAGAGUCUUCAAUAUAUCUUGUUGGUGCAACUAGCUAUUCAUAUGUAUAAAAAACUAUUAGAUUCUGCUUUACAAUAUAAAUAAAAAUUAAAUAUAAGUGAACUACAGAUUUAAAAACUUAGCAUUAUGGGGGCUGGGGAUUUAGCUCAGCGGCAUAAGCGCCUGCCUUGCAAGCAGGCAGUCAUGAGUUCAAUCCCUGGUACCGAUAAAAAGAAAAAAAAAAAAAAAAAAAAAAAAAAAAAAAAAAAAAAAAAAAAAAAAACUUAGCACUAUGAAUCUUUGAAGGAAAAAGUCAAGAGAAAACUCUUUACAGCAUUUGAGAUGGGAAAAUUAUCCUUAGAACUAAGAAAGCAUGAACUAUAAAAGAAAUGUUGACUUUUUUAAAAAAUCAAAAUUAAACACUUUUCCUCUCUGAAAACACUCUUUAGAAAAUCAAAAUGUUGUGAAUGCAUAGAAAGGAAAUUAUUUAUAAAUAUAUACAGGGAUGUGCUUCCAGAAUAUAAAAUAUCUUUAACAAUUUACUAGUCAGAGGAAAAUGGCCCACUUAAAAAUGAACAAAAAGAAAUAAAAAAUAGUUUUAAAACAACAAACAAGGCAUAAUAACAAACAAUUUGGGCAAAAAUUUUGCUGAAACAUGUCACAAAAAGAUACAUGAUGGGUAAAUAAGCACAUGAAAAUAUUUUCAGCACCAUUAGCCAAAUAUAAAAUACUAAAUAAACCCAAAUUAGACCCUUUUCACAUUCAUUGAAAUUGUUAACACUAAAAAAAAAAAAAAAAAAUGAUCUGGACAUGGUGGCUUUCUCCUGUAAGUCAGUACUCUAGAAUGCUAAGGUAGAAGGAUUACCAAUUUAAGCCUACCUUGGGCAGUGAUAACCUGUCUCAAAACUUAAAAAAUGGAAAAAAAGAACUUAAAAAAAAGGGAGAUAGGGUAAGGAUAUAGUUCAGUGCAAGGCUCUGAGAUACUAAGUGGGAAAAAAAAGACACUAAAAAGAUGUCAGUAUUGAAAGUCAGGAUGAAUCUGUCAACCAGAACUUUUCAAACAUUGUUAGUUGACAUGUAACACUGUACACCCUUCUUGGAAAA